CACGUAGGCACCAAGCGUUGUCCGGAUUUAUUGGGCGUAAAGAGCUCGUAGGCGGUUCAGUAAGUCGGGUGUGAAAACUUUGGGCUUAACCCAAAGCGUGCAUCCGAUACUGCUGUGACUUGAGUUCGGUAGGGGAGUGGGGAACUCCUAGUGUAGCGGUGAAAUGCGCAGAUAUUAGGAGGAACACCGGUGGCGAAGGCGCCACUCUGGGCCGAAACUGACGCUGAGGAGCGAAAGCAUGGGUAGCAAACAGG
rnacentral:rRNA from 1 species